AUGUUGAUGCAAGACUAUUUCACGGAGAAUCCUACAUAUCCUCCGCACCUCUUCCGGAGAAGGUACCGAAUGCGCCGAUCCCUCUUUGUGAAACUUGUUGAAGCUUGCGAGGCAAAUUGCCGGUAUUUUACUCAAAGAAGAAAUGCCACGGGCUUAAAGGGAUUUAGUGCAUAUCAAAAAAUCUCCGAAGCUAUGCGGGUGAUUGCAUAUGGCGUUCCGGCUGACUAUGUCGAUGAGUAUCUUCGCAUUGGUGAAGAUAUCACAAUUGAGUCUGUGCGUAGAUUUGCGAAAGUGAUCAUCCGU
rnacentral:rRNA from 1 species